rnacentral:lncRNA from 1 species
UCGUUAUUCGGUUUGUCAAAAAUUAAAGGUGGGGAGGACAAAAAUCAGGAGAGAUUGAUUGCAUCUACUUUUCUACGGAAAUGUCUAACUCCGCUUCCAAAAAAAGCCGUAAUUAUUUUUGUGCUUCAAAUAUACGUUUAUGUUUAUAUCUUUCAACAUAAUUUUGUAAAACAAAUGUUAAGUUUUACUGAAUGUUGUCACUGAACAAACUUGUGAUGAGCAGGUAUUUUAGAGUCUUGGGGUCUUAAAAGAAAAUCAUAGGACUCAGACUGCCCCAGAGUUAUGCAAUCUAAGAGUAUAUUAACCACUUUUAAGUAUUAUAUGUUUUUCUCUUUUUUGAGCUUUUGUCGAUUUGACACGUUCAUUUCAUUUGAAUGUUGGUUCUGAAAAUGAAGCAUGUAGUUACUUUUCCGUUAACAUACAUAACAGCAUUUUAAAGUACCUAAAUUCCUUUUGGAAGGCCGAGGCGGACGGAUCACCUGAGGUCAGAAGUUCCAGACCAGCCUGACCAACAUGGUGAAACCCGUUUCUACUAAAAAUACAAAACCUAGCCCCGGGCGUGGUGGCACGCGCCUGUAAUCCCAGCUACUCAAGAGCCUGAUGCAGGAGAAUCGCUUGAAACCGGGAGGCGGAGGUUGCAGUGAGCU